rnacentral:rRNA from 1 species
GACGAACGCUGGCGGCGUGCUUAACACAUGCAAGUCGAACGGUGACCCAGGGCUUGCCCUGGUGAUCAGUGGCGAACGGGUGAGUAACACGUGGGCAACCUGCCCCUGACUUCGGGAUAACUCCUCGAAAGAGGAGCUAAUACCGGAUACGACCACUUCGGACAUCCGAUGGUGGUGGAAAGUUUUUCGGUCAGGGAUGGGCCCGCGGCCUAUCAGCUAGUUGGUGGGGUAAUGGCCUACCAAGGCGACGACGGGUAGCCGGCCUGAGAGGGCGACCGGCCACACUGGGACUGAGACACGGCCCAGACUCCUACGGGAGGCAGCAGUGGGGAAUAUUGCGCAAUGGGCGAAAGCCUGACGCAGCGACGCCGCGUGAGGGAUGAAGGCCUCGGGUUGUAACCGUCUUUCAGCAGGGACGAAGCGAAAGUGACGGUACC